AGUGAACGCUGGCGGUAGGCCUAACACAUGCAAGUCGAACGGCAGCACAGUAAGAGCUUGCACUUACGGGUGGCGAGUGGCGGACGGGUGAGGAAUACAUCGGAAUCUACUUUUUCGUGGGGGAUAACGUAGGGAAACUUACGCUAAUACCGCAUACGACCUACGGGUGAAAGCAGGGGAUCUUCGGACCUUGCGCGAUUGAAUGAGCCGAUGUCGGAUUAGCUAGUUGGCGGGGUAAAGGCCCACCAAGGCGACGAUCCGUAGCUGGUCUGAGAGGAUGAUCAGCCACACUGGAACUGAGACACGGUCCAGACUCCUACGGGAGGCAGCAGUGGGGAAUAUUGGACAAUGGGCGCAAGCCUGAUCCAGCCAUACCGCGUGGGUGAAGAAGGCCUUCGGGUUGUAAAGCCCUUUUGUUGGGAAAGAAAGGCAGCAGGUUAAUACCCCGCUGUUCUGACGGUACCCAAAGAAUAAGCACCGGCUAACUUCGUG
rnacentral:rRNA from 1 species